rnacentral:lncRNA from 1 species
CCCGGCCGCACUGCCGUCGGCUGCCACCACCUCAUGCAUCGUGCCACCUUCUCCGAUUUCUUUCGUACGUAUUUUCACCAUCUGGAUUUCGUUUGGACUGUUCUUGGGUUCGUUGGACUCUGUUCGUCGUCCUGAACCUCGUUGUGGACUCAAUAUAGAUCGAAUCUCAAGACAUCAAAUCUCAAUAGUUGUGACACUGGACACUCUCGAUAAGAAUGGCCAUGCAACCAAAUUGUUCACCCCAG